UAGUCCACGCCGUAAACGAUGGACACUUGGUGUUGGAGGUAUUGACCCCUUCAGUGCCGGAGCUAACGCGUUAAGUGUCCCGCCUGGGGAGUACGGUCGCAAGAUUAAAACUCAAAGAAAUUGACGGGGGCCCGCACAAGCGGUGGAGCAUGUGGUUUAAUUCGAUGAAACGCGCAAUACCUUACCAGGCCUUGACAUCUAGAGGAAGUAUCUCAGAGAUGAGUACGCCUUCGGGUCUCUAGACAGGUGCUGCAUGGCUGUCGUCAGCUCGUGUCGUGAGAUGUUGGGUUAAGUCCCGCAACGAGCGCAACCCUUAUCAUUAGUUGCCAGCAUUUAGUUGGGCACUCUAGUGAGACUGCCGACGUUAAGUCGGAGGAAGGUGGGGAUGACGUCAAGUCCUCAUGGCCCUUAUGGCCUGGGCGACACACGUGCUACAAUGGUAGAUACAGAGGGUAGCCAAAUCGCAAGAUGGAGCCAAUCCCACAAAGUCU
rnacentral:rRNA from 1 species